rnacentral:rRNA from 1 species
AAGCGGUGGAGCAUGUGGUUUAAUUCGAUGAUACGCGAGGAACCUUACCUGGGCUCAAAUGUAUGUUGACGUAUUCUGAAAGGGAUACUUCUUCGGACAAUAUACAAGGUGCUGCAUGGUUGUCGUCAGCUCGUGCCGUGAGGUGUCGGGUUAAGUCCCAUAACGAGCGCAACCCCUAUCAUUAGUUGCCAUCAGGUCAAGCUGGGGACUCUAAUGAAACUGCCUACGCAAGUAGUGAGGAAGGUGGGGAUGACGUCAAAUCAGCACGGCCCUUACGUCCAGGGCUACACACGUGCUACAAUGGCCGGUACAAAGGGCAGCUACCUGGUGACAGGAUGCUAAUCUCAAAAGCCGGUCUCAGUUCGGAUCGGAGUCUGCAACCCGACUCCGUGAAGCUGGAAUCACUAGUAAUCGCGCAUCAGCCAUGGCGACGGUGAAUACGUUCCGGGCCUU